CAAAGGGAGAAGGGGACGGGAGAGACGUCAAGGGGCGACGGCUCCGGCGGCUUUUCCGGCGAAGGGAUUUGGGGAAAAACGAAGAAGAAGGCUAAGGGAAGACUAAGGAGUGGAUUAAGGGGACGACACGUGUCUGAGCGAUGUCGUACGUCGUAAAGGUUGCUUUGUAAUUGUGAGGUAGGUAUUGGCAUUUAAAUUAAGUUCAUGAAUUUAAAUUAAGUUAAUGUUACACUUUCAAAUGUUAUGACUAUUAAUGAAAUUCACAUGUUAAUGUUUAUGAGUU